ACGGGAGGCAGCAGUGGGGAAUGUUGGACAAUGGGGGAGACCCUGAUCCAGCGACGCCGCGUGAGUGAAGAAGUAUUUCGGUAUGUAAAGCUCUAUCAGCAGGGAAGAUAAUGACGGUACCUGACUAAGAAGCCCCGGCUAACUACGUGCCAGCAGCCGCGGUAAUACGCAGGGGGCAAGCGUUAUCCGGAUUUACUGGGUGUAAAGGGAGCGUAGACGGCAUGGCAAGUCUGAUGUGAAAACCCGGGGCUCAACCCCGGGACUGCAUUGGAAACUGUCAGGCUAGAGUGCAGGAGAGGUAAGUGGAAUUCCUAGUGUAGCGGUGAAAUGCGUAGAUAUUAGGAGGAACACCAGUGGCGAAGGCGGCUUACUGGACUGUAACUGACGUUGAGGCUCGAAAGCGUGGGGAGCAAACAGGAUUAGAUACCCUGGUA
rnacentral:rRNA from 1 species